CCCUUAGAUGUCCGGGGCCGCACGCGCGCUACACUGAAGGAAUCAGCGUGGCUUUCUCCCUGACCCGAAAGGGUUGGGAAACCCGUUGAAUCUCCUUCGUGAUAGGGAUUGGGGCUUGAAAUUGUUCCCCAUGAACGAGGAAUUCCCAGUAAGCGCGAGUCAUAAGCUCGCGUUGAUUACGUCCCUGCCCUUUGUACACACCGCCCGUCGCUCCUACCGAUUGGGUGAUCCGGUGAAUAAUUUGGAAUGCUGCUUGCCUGCAGCUUGUGGGCACUUCGGCUGUAAGUCUGGUGAACCUUAUCACUUAGAGGAAGGAGAAGUCGUAACA
rnacentral:rRNA from 1 species